rnacentral:lncRNA from 1 species
CGCGCCAUGACGGGAACUCCCCCCCCCAAAAAAAUAAAUAAAUAAAUAAAACAAAGAAAAUAGUUCUACUUGGGCAAAGGAUUUGAACAGACAUUUCUCAAAAAUAAAUCUAUACAGAUGUUCAAGAAGUACAUGAAAACAUGCUCAUGAUAAUUAGUCAUUAGGGAAAUUCAAAUUUUUUUUUGUCUUUUUGCCAUUUCUAGGGCCGCUCCCGCAGCAUAUGGAGGUUCCUAGGCCAGAGGUCGAACCGGAGCUGUAGCCACUGGCCUAUGGCAGAGCCACAGCAAGUGGGAUCCGAGCUGCCUCUGUGACCUACACCACAGCUCACAGCAAUGCUGGAUCCUUAACCCACUGAGCAAGGCCAGAGAUUGAACCUGCAACCUCAUGGUUCCUAGUCGGAUUUGUUAACCACUGCGCCAUGAUGGGAACUCCAGGGAAAUUCAAUUUAAAAACACAAUGUGAUAUCAUUUCACACCCACUAAGAUAGAGAUAAUCUGGAAAAUGGUAAGUAACAAGUGUUGGUGAGACCAUGAGGAAAUUAGUUAUUGCUGGUGGGAAUGUAAAAUGGUAAAGUCACUGUGGAAAGAGUUUGUCAGUUCCUCAAAGUUAAACAUAGAACUACCCUAUGACUCAGAAAUUACACUGCUAGAUAUAUACCAAAAGUAUUUAAAACAGGUAAUUAAACAAGUAUUUAUAUAAAAAUUUUCAUGGCAGCACUGUUCACAAUAGGGCUAUGGUGGAAACAGUCACAACAUCCAUUAAGAGAUGAAUAGAUGAAUGAGUUUGAUACAUUCACAGGUGGUACGUUAUUCAGCCAUACAGUAGAAUGGGGCACUGUUACAUGAUACAAUGUUGAUGAACCUCAAACAUGCUACAUCAAUCAUGCUCCUCUGCAUAUAUCCAGUCAAAACUACAAUUAAAAAAGACAUAUACACCCAUAUGUUCAUAGCAGCAGUAUUCACAAUAGCCAAGACAUGGAAACAGCCUAAAUAUCCAUUGACAGAUUAAUGGAUUAAGAACAUGUGGUACAGGAGUUCCCAUUGUGGCUCAGUGGUAACAAACCUGACUAUUACCCAAGAGGAUGCAGGUUCAAUCCCUGGUCUCGCUAAGUGGGUUAAGGAUCCAAUGUUGCAGUGAGUUGCAGUGUAGGUCACAGACAUGGCUUGCAUCUUGCAUUGUUGUGGCUGUGGUGUAAGGUGGCAGCUACAGCUCUGAUUCAACUCCCAGCCUAGGAACUUCCAUAUGCUGUGGGUGUGGCCCUAAAAAGACAACAACAACAAUGAAAAAGAUGUGGUACAUAUAUACAAUGAAAUACUAAGCCAUAAAAAAGAAGAAAAUAAUGCCAUUUGCAGCAACCUGGAUGCAAAUAGAGAUUAUCAUACUAAGUGAAGUAAGUCAGAAAGAGAAGGACAAAUACUGUAAGAUCUCAGUUAUAUGUGGAAUCUAAAAUAUGGCAUGGGAGUUCCCACUGUAACUCAGUGGGUUAAGAAACUGACUAGUAUCCAUGAGGAUGCAAGUUCAGUCCCUGGCCUCUUUCAGUCAGUUAAGGAUCCGGUGUUGCCAUAAGCUGCAGCAUAGGUCACAGAUGCAGCUCAGAUCCAGCAUUGCUGUGGCUGCGGUGUAGGCCAGCAGCUGCAGCUCUGAUUGGACCCCUAGCCCAGAAACUUCCAUAUGCUGCAGGUGCAGCCCUAAAAAGAAAAAAAAAAGUUUAAAAAAUAGCAUAAAUGAGCCUAUCUACAAAACAGAAAUAGACUCACAGACAUAGAGAAUAGACAUGCCAAGGGGGAAGGGAGGAGGGAGUGGGAUGGACUGGGAGUUUGGGGGCAGCAGAUGCAAACCAUUACAUUUAGAAUGGAUAAGCAAUGAGGUCCUACUGUACAGCACAGGGAACUAUUUCAACCUCUUGGAAUAGAACAUGAUGGAAGAUAACAUGAGAAAAAGAUUGCAUACACACACACACACACACACACACAUGCACACACAUAUAUAUGACUCAGUCACUUUGCUAUAUGGCAGAAAUUGACACAACAUUGUAAAUCAACUAUAUAUUUAAAAAGUUUCAAUUCAAAGAUUUCAGCUACCAUGCGUCUAGAAAAGAAAGGCAAAUCAAACCCAAAGUAGUAAAAGAAAAGAAAUAAUAAAUAUCAGAGCAUAAAUCAGUGAAAUAUAAAACAGGAAAAAAUCAAAAAUACAAAGAGAUAAAACUUCCUCUUUAAGAAGAUAAACAAAAGUAAAAAUACCCCAGGCAGACAGAUCAAGAGUAACAAAGAGUAGAUACAGAUGACUAAUACCAGGACUGAGAGUGUGACAACAUGGAGUCCAUGGCUCUUUAAAGAUAAUGAAAACAAGCAAGAGUUAAGCCCUGAGUAAGAGGUAAACUGGCAGUGGUAAAAAGCCCCUUCAACCUCAGGAUAUUUAUCAGUUUUAGGAAAGUUAGAAGCAAAGAAACAAGACUUGGGCCCUCCAUACCAUGGCAGAAAAUUAUGAUGUGGGAUCAAAAAGAAAUCAGUAUCAAUUUUGAAUGCAGAAAAGGGCAAUGUAUGCCGAAUGCAUAUAAAAGUACUGAAGAGAGGCAGAAUAUAAAUGACUUAAACUUCCAUCUCAAAUUUAAACUUCCAUAUCAAAUAGCUACAGAAUAAAAUCAAGCAUAAGGAAAGCAGAAGGGAAAAUGGGAUAAAAAUAGGAUAAAAGCAGAAACAUUUAGCAAAUAUAGGAAUUCAGCAUACAUACACACACAUACCACUCAUGUGUGUGUGUGUAUAUAUAUAUGUUGUAUAUAUGUGUGUAUAUAUAUAUAUUUUUCAAAAGUUAACUAAGCAAAGAGUUGAUUUUAUGAAAAAAUAGUAAAACUGAUAAAAUAAGUUACAAAUUAGCACAAGGGAUGAAAAGGAGAAAAAUCACUACACUUGUCCCCAACAUCAAAAAUGAUAACAAAAUAUUAUAAAAUAUUUGCGACCAUAAAAAUGACCCUUUGGAUGAAAUGGACAUAUUUCCCAAAAGCAUAGUUUACCAAAGCUGACAGAAGAAAAGGAAGUUUGAAUAGGCUGACAUAUAUUAAAGAAAUUAAAUUUUUUACUUAAAAACCUUCCCACAAAAAAAUUUUCAGAUUUAGUUGACUUUGUUAACUAAAUAUUUCAAAUAUUUCAAAAAAUAUUAAUCCCCAAUCUUUGACAAAGUUUUUAUAGGAAAGGGAAAAACAGGAGACUUCCUGCUUUUUUAUGAGGUCAUUCAGUGUGACACCAAAACAAGACAAGAAUAUUACAAAAAACAAAAUUAUAAACUAAUAAUCCUAAAUAUUAGCAAUGAGAGUCAGCAAUAAAGGAAUAAAGAACUAUGAUAAAGUGCCAUUAAGUCUAGGGAUGAGAGAAUUAUAACAUUCAAAAAUCAAUUUUGGAGUUCCCUGGUAGCCCAGUGCUUAAGGAUUUGGCAUUGUCAUGGCUGUAGCUUGGGUUCAAGCCCUGGCCCAGAAACUUCCAUGUGCCAUAGGAAAGGCCAAAAAAAUAAUAAUAAUUUAUCACAUAAACAGGAGAAGUAAAGAAAAAUCACAAGAUUUUCUUGGUGCAGAAAAAACAUUUCCCCAAAGUUGAUAAUCAUAAGAGAUAAAAAUUCUUAACAAACUAGAAAUAGGGGAAAACAAUUUGAUUUUUAAAAUCUAUGAAAGUCAUAUUAAACAUCACACAAUGAUUAAUUAUUGAAAGUUUUCCUUCAAGACCAAAAAUGCAACAUGGGUACUUAAAAUUAUGGCUCUACUGAAUUUUGUAAUAACAUCCUAGAAAGUAUAGCAAUAUAUGAAAAAGAUAUAAGUAUAAGGACUCUAAAAAGAGUAAAUAAAACUGGCCCUAUCUGAAAAUUGUUUAUGUUAACAAAACUCAAAAAAAAAAUAAGAGGGUCAUUGGAGAUAAGGUAAAUAUACAAGACAAAAUUGUAUUUCUACACACCAGUGACAAAAAAAAAUGGAAAAGAGAUUUUUUUUAAAAAUGAUACCAUUUACAAUGGCAUUAAAACAAAUCAAAUACCCAGGGGAAAAUCUGGAAAUUAAUUCAUGAAACUUCUACACCGAAAACUACAAAAUGUUGCUAAAAGAAUCUCAAAUAAAUGGAGGAAUAUUCCAUGUUCACUGACUGAAAAUAUCAAUAUUAUAAAGAUGUCAGUUUCUUCCCAAUAAAUCUAUAGAUUCUACCUAAUUACAAUAAAACCCAGCAAGAUUUGGCAGGAGGUCAGAUUUUGACAAAUUUGCAAGGAAAAGCAAAAGGAUAAGAAAAGCCAAGGGAAAUGUUGAAGAGUACAUCAUCAGAAAGUUGACAAAAUCAACUAUCAUAAUCUAUUAUAAAACUAUAUGAAUGAAUGCUGUGUGGUAAUGACACAAGAAUAAAUAGCUAACCAGUGCAAUAGAAGAACGUUCAGAAACAGACCCAAACAGAGGCAGAUGCCUGAUUUGUGCAAGGAGGACAUUACAGCUCAUUGGGAAGGAAUAGUCUUUAUCAAUACAUGUUACUGAAUUAUCUGGAUGCCAGAUUGAAAGGUGCAGUUGAAGGAGUUCCCAUAGUGGCUCGGUGGCAACACACCCGGCUAGUAUCCAUGAGGACUCAGGUUCCAUCCCUGUGCUCGUUCAGUGGGUUAAGGAUCAAGUGUUGCCAUGGCUCAGAUCCCACACUGCUGUGGCUGUGGUGUAGGCUGGCAGCUCCACCUCUGAUUUGACCCCUAGCCUAGAAAACUUCAAUAUGCCACAGGUUCAGUCCUAAAAAGACAAAAAAAAGGGGGGGGGCAGUUGACUCUCUAGCUUACUCCAUACUCAAAAAACUUGGGACGAUAGAGUACCCAUGGUGGUUCAGUAGGUUAAGGACCCAACAUAGUGUUCAUGAGUAUGCCGGUUUGAUCCCUGGCCUCGCCCAGUGGGUUAGGAUCCAGUGUUGCUGCGGCUGUGGUGUACGUUUCAGCUGUAGCUCCAAUUCUUCUUCUUACAGUCUAUCUUAAAAUCAAGAAUUUCAGCUUAUCAAAAGACCCCACUAACAAUGAAAAUAAGAUGUAUAGAUUGAGAGAAAUUAUUUGCAAUGCAUAAUUUCUGACAGAUGAUUUAUAGCCACAAUAUAUAAUGAAAUACUAUAUUAUAAACCA